ACUCCUGCGGGAGGCAGCAGUGGGGAAUAUUGCACAAUGGGCGCAAGCCUGAUGCAGCCAUGCCGCGUGUAUGAAGAAGGCCUUCGGGUUGUAAAGUACUUUCAGCGGGGAGGAAGGUGUUGAGGUUAAUAACCUCAGCAAUUGACGUUACCCGCCGAAGAAGCACCGGCUAACUCCGUGCCAGCAGCCGCGGUAAUACGGAGGGUGCAAGCGUUAAUCGGAAUUACUGGUCGUAAAGCGAACGCAGGCGGUCUGUCAAGUCGGAUGUGAAAUCCCCGGGCUCAACCUGGGAACUGCAUUCGAAACUGGCAGGAUAGAGUCUUGUAGAGGGGGGUAGAAUUCCAGGUGUAGCGGUGAAAUGCGUAGAGAUCUGGAGGAAUACCGGUGGCGAAGGCGGCCCCCUGGACAAAGACUGACGCGCAGGUGCAAAAGCGUGGGGAGCAAACAGGAUUAGAAACCCUUGUAGUCCCAUGA
rnacentral:rRNA from 1 species